UAAGGAAUAUUGGUCAAUGGGCGCAAGCCUGAACCAGCCAUGCCGCGUGCGGGAAGACGGCCCUAUGGGUUGUAAACUGCUUUUGUCAGGGAAUAAACCCCCGCUCGUGAGCGGGGCUGAAGGUACCUGAAGAAUAAGCAUCGGCUAACUCCGUGCCAGCAGCCGCGGUAAUACGGAGGAUGCAAGCGUUAUCCGGAUUCAUUGGGUUUAAAGGGUGCGCAGGUGGAUUGGUAAGUCAGGGGUGAAAUCCCACAGCUCAACUGUGGAACUGCCUUUGAUGCUGUCAGUCUAGAGUAUAGUUGAAGUGGGCGGAAUGUGUCAUGUAGCGGUGAAAUGCUUAGAUAUGACACAGAACACCGAUCGCGAAGGCAGCUCGCUAAGCUAUAACUGACGCUCAUGCACGAAAGCGUGGGGAUCAAACAG
rnacentral:rRNA from 1 species